rnacentral:rRNA from 1 species
AGUAGUUUGAUCAUGGCUCAGAACGAACGCUGGCGGCAGGCUUAACACAUGCAAGUCGAACGGAUCCUUCGGGAUCAGUGGCGGACGGGUGAGUAACGCGUGGGAACCUACCCUGGGGUGGGGAAUAACCUUGGGAAACCGAGGCUAAUACCGCAUACGCCCUAUUGGGGAAAGACUAUGUUGCCCUGGGAUGGGCCCGCGUCCGAUUAGCUAGUUGGUGGGGUAAUGGCCUACCAAGGCUGCGAUCGGUAGCUGGUCUGAGAGGAUGAUCAGCCACACUGGGACUGAGACACGGCCCAGACUCCUACGGGAGGCAGCAGUGGGGAAUACUGGACAAUGGGGCAACCCUGAUCCAGCCAUGCCGCGUGAGUGAAGAAGGCCUUAGGGUUGUAAAGCUCUUUCACCCGUGACGAUGAUGACGGUAGCGGGAGAAGAAGCCCCGGCUAAUUCCGUG